rnacentral:misc_RNA from 1 species
GUUGCCAUGUUUAAUCAUACAUUAGGAGGUCUCGUCAAGUCGGGCACAUGGAGCUGUCAAGGUGUACAAGUAGCGGCUUCUACCUAAAUCCUGAACACCUCAUAACAAACUCCUAUAUCCGAUGUUUCUUAAAUCAAACAUUGAUCUCCUAUCCUGAUUACUCUUUAAUAUUUGUUAUUAAAUGUUAGUUUAAUUUUUAUUUAAAUUAGAUAUCGUUGUGUAUCACUUGAUGGUACGAUUGCUCAGUAAUUUAGAUCAUGGAACGUGGGUAUUCUUCUGGAGACAUCGUUCAGAAGCUCGCACCCACAGCUCUCCUCCUGCUGGUGUUAUUGGGGGCAACCUCGGUCCCUACGUGUUCGCAGCUCACUCCACACGAAGACGAUCUGCUCUACGCUCAGAUCUACCAGCCAAUAGUACCCCUCGCCCAGUCCUUCUACAACGAGACGCAUGAAAUUCCCGGCCAUAUUCGAACGAUGAUCGCCUUCAUCAGAACGGAGCCUACAUACAACACCGCGCGAACAUUCUCCGGGCUGCUGCCCGAGUGUUCGGCCUGCAUCGGGCUGGCCAAGUUCGCGCUCGCUUUUGCCAGGAGUAAUGCGCCCGUUGGCCCCCUCAUCAGCGUUCUCGAGAAGAUCUGCUAUCUCUUCUUCUACCGCAACAAGAUCGUCUGCUCCGGCAUCAUCAACAGGGAGAAGGGCGUGGUGCUGUACGUAUUCCGCCACAGUCGCACGACGCCACAGCAGAUCUGUGCGCUUCUCCUGUCCAUCGCAGUGGGGCCCAAGAGCUGUGGUAUCUUCAGGGGGCCCCGCUGGACCGUCCAGCUGCCUGUACCUGCUGAUAACCUCUACGCGUACGAAGCUAAUAAUCUUGUAAAUGGAUACUAUGAUAGGUUCGACAGCGUGACAGCCGGCUCAUCAACAGAAGUGUUCCACAGCGCAAACGAAACAUUCGCGCCCAUUCAACGGACAGGUCGCGCUGUAGCAGCGGACCGCAGCAGCAAGCAACGCUUGAGUGUUACGUACAUCGGGACACCGAAAAUCAAAAUCCCGGAUCGGGACAGACUCUUCAACGACGGUCGGCCGUACCUGAAAGUGCUGCAUCUCACCGACAUCCAUUACGACCCCAAGUACAGGCGCGGUGCUAACGCCCACUGCCAGGCCCCGGUGUGCUGCCGGGACGAUAGUGGACGAGCACAAAAUUACUGGGAUGGUGCAGGGAAAUACGGAGACUACCGCGCGUGUGAUACACCGCGCGUGUUGGUGGACAAUAUGCUGCGCCACAUCAGCGAGCACCACCCGGAUAUAGACUACGUUAUGUGGACCGGGGAUAGCGUCGCGCACGAUCUCUGGAAAAUCAACCGUCGCGACAACAGCGUCAACAUCAACAGAGUGGGGGAUAUGAUACGAUAUUACUUCCCCACCAUCCCCAUCUUCGGGGCUGUGGGAAACCACGAGAUUUCCCCCAGAGACAGCUUCCCGCCACCAGAAGUCCCUAAAAUAAGACGUCACUUCAACAACCAGUGGCUGUACAGUCUGCUGGCAGAGCAGUGGCAGAGUUGGCUGCCAGGACGCAAGAUCUCACCGCAGGCUUGGGUCACAGGUUCCUACUCUGCGUUGGUCAGGGAAGGAUUCAGGAUAAUUUCCAUCAACACAAACUUCUGCUACAAGCUCAAUCUGUGGGUCCUCCUCAAAAGCGUCGACCCUGGCAACAUCCUAAGUUGGCUCGUAGCAGAGCUGCUGAAGGCGGAAGCAAAUGGGGAAUACGUGCACAUCAUAGGCCACAUGGGCCCUCUGUAUGGGGACUGCUAUGAGGAGUGGGGCCAUCAGUUCUCCAGGAUAGUCACCAGGUUUUCGAGGAUAAUUCGAGGUCAGUUUUACGGACACUGCCACCGUGACACGGUACUGCUGCACUUCGACGUGCGGGCGCCCGACGUGCCAAUAGGCGUCGAGUACCUCACUCCCAGUAACGGGCCCUUCUACCAACUGAACCCGUCCUUCACCAUCUACUAUGUAGACGGUGACUACAGCACUAGGUCUGUGCUGGACUACGAGACCUACUUCAUGAACCUGACGGAGGCCAACGUCUACGACGAGCCUCGGUGGCAGCUACUGUACCGGGCCAAACGCGACCUUAAAAUGGCAGCGCUCGAGGCCAAGGACUGGGACAACCUGGCCCAUAGGAUAGCCAGGGAUACCAACUUUGGUGCUGAAUUUUACAAGUGAGUGGGAAAACACAUAGGAUAGCCAGGGAUACCAACUUUGGUGCUGAAUUUUACAAAUACCACGUGAAGGCGAGCGACCCUCUGCUCAAGGAAGGCUGUGGCUAUCGCUGUCAGCAGGAGA